rnacentral:rRNA from 1 species
GACGAACGCUGGCGGCGUGCCUAAUACAUGCAAGUUGAGCGAUGAAGAUUGGUGCUUGCACCAAUUUGAAGAGCAGCGCACGGGUGAGUAACGCGUGGGGAAUCUGCCUUUGAGCGGGGGACAACAUUUGAAAACGAAUGCUAAUACCGCAUAACAACUUUAAACAUAAGUGUGAAGUUUGAAAGAUGCAAUUGCAGCACUCAAAGAUGAUCCCGCGUUGUAUUGGCUAGUUGGUGAGGUAAAGGCUCACCAAGGCGAGGAUACAUAGCCGACCUGAGAGGGUGAUUGGCCGGACUGGGACUGAGACACGCCACAUACUCCCACGGGAGGCAGCAGUACUGCAUCGUGAGGAAUGGGCGAAAGUCUGACCGAGCAAGGCCGAGGGAGUGAAGAAGGUUUUCGGGUCGUAGAACUCGGUCGGUGGGGUAGAACGCGGGUGAGCGUGGAAAGAUCAGCAAGUGACGGUAACGACCCAGAAAGCGACGGCUAACUACGUG